rnacentral:rRNA from 1 species
AGCUCUGCGAGUUUGCUCCCAUAUUGUUGCAGUUAAAACGCCCGUAGUCAGAACUCACUCGCAAGAGUGGUGUGUUCCUUUUGGAACGUUCACUGUGAACAAAUCAGGACGCUUAGGGUAUGGUUUCAAGAAUGACUCAGCGCAGUAUGAUAUCUUUACCUAUGGUAAGAUCAAAGAGAGCCAUCGGGGGUAGAUCUAUUUCAUGGCGAGCGGUGGAAUGCUCUGACCCAUGAGAGAGAAACGAAGGCGAAGGCAUCUACCUAGAGGGUUUCUG